AGAGUUUGAUCCUGGCUCAGGAUGAACGCUAGCGACAGGCUUAACACAUGCAAGUCGAGGGGCAGCGGGGAGUAGCAAUACUUCGCCGGCGACCGGCGCACGGGUGAGUAACACGUGUGCAACCAACCCCGUACCGGGAGAUAACCCGCGGAAACGUGGACUAACAUCCCAUGAUACUCGAGGGCCGCAUGGCUCUCGAUUUAAAAUUCCGGUGGUACGGGACGGGCACGCGCGACAUUAGGUAGUUGGCGGGGUAACGGCCCACCAAGCCGACGAUGUCUAGGGGUUCUGAGAGGAAGGUCCCCCACACUGGAACUGAGACACGGUCCAGACUCCUACGGGAGGCAGCAGUGAGGAAUAUUGGUCAAUGGGCGAGAGCCUGAACCAGCCAAGUCGCGUGAGGGAAGAAUGGUCUAUGGCCUGUAAACCUCUUUUGUCAGGGAAGAAUAAGGAUGACGAGUCAUUCGAUGCCAGUACUUGACGAAUAAGCAUCGGCUAACUCCGUGCCAGCAGCCGCGGUAAUACGGGGGAUGCGAGCGUUAUCCGGAUUUAUUGGGUUUAAAGGGCGCGUAGGCGGGACGUCAAGUCAGCGGUAAAAGACUGCAGCUAAACUGUAGCACGCCGUUGAAACUGGCGCCCUGGAGACGAGACGAGGGAGGCGGAACAAGUGAAGUAGCGGUGAAAUGCAUAGAUAUCACUUGGAACCCCGAUAGCGAAGGCAGCUUCCCAGGCUCGUUCUGACGCUGAUGCGCGAGAGCGUGGGUAGCGAACAGGAUUAGAUACCCUGGUAGUCCACGCCGUAAACGAUGCUCACUG
rnacentral:rRNA from 1 species